rnacentral:tRNA from 1 species
GCCUAUGUAGCUAAGAGGUAUAGCAUCUUCUUGGUAAGAAGAAGGGCGCAGGUUCGAGUCCUGUCAUAGGCU